UAGGGAAGAACAAGUACCGUUCGAAUAGGGCGGUACCUUGACGGUACCUAACCAGAAAGCCACGGCUAACUACGUGCCAGCAGCCGCGGUAAUACGUAGGUGGCAAGCGUUGUCCGGAAUUAUUGGGCGUAAAGGGCUCGCAGGCGGUUUCUUAAGUCUGAUGUGAAAGCCCCCGGCUCAACCGGGGAGGGUCAUUGGAAACUGGGGAACUUGAGUGCAGAAGAGGAGAGUGGAAUUCCACGUGUAGCGGUGAAAUGCGUAGAGAUGUGGAGGAACACCAGUGGCGAAGGCGACUCUCUGGUCUGUAACUGACGCUGAGGAGCGAAAGCGUGGGGAGCGAACAGGAUUAGAUACCCUGGUAGUCCACGCCGUAAACGGAUGAGUGCUAAGUGUUAAGGGGUUUCCGCCCCUUAGUGCUGCAGCUAACG
rnacentral:rRNA from 1 species